AAGUCGUAACAAGGUAUCUGUAGGUGAACCUGCAGAUGGAUCAUUUUGAUGAAAAACCUUUUUUUUCUGAGGUGUGGCUCGCACCUGUCCAACUAAACCUGAGCUACCUUUUUUAUAUAACACGGUUGCAUCGGUCGGUCUGUCGAAACCAGUAGCGCUCAUAGCGAGCAGCGUCUGGGGAAAGACGGGUCGGCGCUUCUUACCAACACUUUUGAACACUAGGAUUGGAAGGACAAAAAUCAUUUUUUUGAUGAUGGAAGCGACUGGUAAUGCGGUCGUCUAAAUUGAAAAAAACAACUUUUGGCAACGGAUCUCUUGGUUCUCC
rnacentral:misc_RNA from 1 species